rnacentral:rRNA from 1 species
UGAGGAAUAUUGGUCAAUGGGCGCAAGCCUGAACCAGCCGUCCCGCGUGAAGGAUGAAGGCCCUAUGGGUCGUAAACUUCUUUUAUACACCAAGAAAAAGCAGGACGUGUCCUGCCCCGACGGUAGUGUAUGUAUAAGCAUCGGCUAACUCCGUGCCAGCAGCCGCGGUAAUACGGAGGAUGCGAGCGUUAUCCGGGUUCAUUGGGUUUAAAGGGUGCGUAGGCGGCUUUUUAAGUCAGUGGUGAAAUCUUGCCGCUUAACGGUAAAAUUGCCAUUGAUACUGAUAAGCUUGAGUACAAUUGAGGUAAGCGGAAUGUGUAGUGUAGCGGUGAAAUGCUUAGAUAUCAUCCAGAACACCGAUUGCGAAGGCAGGUGGCUACGUUUGAUUUGACACUGAGGCACGAAAGCAUGGGGAGCAAACA